UACGGAGGGUGCAAGCGUUGCUCGGAAUUACUGGGCGUAAAGCGCGUGUAGGCGGUUUCGUGUGUCUGUUGUGAAAUCCCCGGGCUCAACCCGGGAAGUGCAUUGGAAACUGCGAGACUAGAGUCCCGGAGAGGAAGGUGGAAUUCCAGGUGUAGCGGUGAAAUGCGUAGAUAUCUGGAAGAACACCGGUGGCGAAGGCGGCCUUCUGGACGGUGACUGACGCUGAGACGCGAAAGCGUGGGGAGCAAACAGG
rnacentral:rRNA from 1 species